GACGAACGCUGGCGGCGUGCCUAAUACAUGCAAGUCGAGCGGAUCAUCGGGAGCUUGCUCCCGAUGAUUAGCGGCGGACGGGUGAGUAACACGUGGGCAACCUGCCUGUAAGACUGGGAUAACACCGGGAAACCGGUGCUAAUACCGGAUAAUUCUUUCCCUCACAUGAGGGAAAGCUGAAAGUCGGUUUUUCGCUGACACUUACAGAUGGGCCCGCGGCGCAUUAGCUAGUUGGUGAGGUAACGGCUCACCAAGACGACGAUGCGUAGCCGACCUGAGAGGGUGAUCGGCCACACUGGGACUGAGACACGGCCCAGACUCCUACGGGAGGCAGCAGUAGGGAAUCUUCCGCAAUGAACGAAAGUCUGACGGAGCAACGCCGCGUGAGUGAUGAAGGCCUUCGGGUCGUAAAACUCUGUUGUUAGGGAAGAACAAGUAUCGGAGUAACUGCCGGUACCUUGACGGUACCUAACCAGAAAGCCACGGCUAACUACGUG
rnacentral:rRNA from 1 species